rnacentral:rRNA from 1 species
AGAGUUUGAUCCUGGCUCAGAUUGAACGCUGGCGGCAGGCCUAACACAUGCAAGUCGAACGGUAGCACAGAGGAGCUUGCUCCUUGGGUGACGAGUGGCGGACGGGUGAGUAAUGUCUGGGAAACUGCCCGAUGGAGGGGGAUAACUACUGGAAACGGUAGCUAAUACCGCAUAACGUCGCAAGACCAAAGAGGGGGACCUUCGGGCCUCGCGCCAUCAGAUGAACCCAUAUGGGAUUAGCUUGUAGGUAAGGUAACGGCUUACCUAGGCGACGAUCCCUAGCUGGUCUGAGAGGAUGACCAGCCACACUGGAACUGAGACACGGUCCAGACUCCUACGGGAGGCAGCAGUGGGGAAUAUUGCACAAUGGGGGAAACCCUGAUGCAGCCAUGCCGCGUGUGUGAAGAAGGCCUUAGGGUUGUAAAGUACUUUCAGUUGGGAGGAAGGCGUUGAUGCUAAUAUCAUCAACGAUUGACGUUACCAACAGAAGAAGCACCGGCUAACUCCGUGCCAGCAGCCGCGGUAAUUC